rnacentral:lncRNA from 1 species
AGCUCCUCCUUUUCCUUCUCUUCUUCUCCUCUUCUUCUUCCCGCCUCCUCCCCGGCAUCACACACACCCUCUCAUAUGUUUCCUCUGCAGGAAACAGAGGUAUCACAACCUCUUCUCCUGCUUCCUCUUCCUCUUCUCUUCCUCUUCUUCUUCUUCUCCUCUUCGAAUGCCCCACACCUCUUCUCUGUUUCCACCUACAGGAAACAAAGAUGCUGUUGCCACCUCUCGCUCCUCUCCCUCUUCCCUCUCUUUUCCCUCUUCUUCUCCUUCUCUUCUUCUCCUCUUCCCUUUUCCUCCCCAACG